GACGGAGGAUGCAAGUGUUAUCCGGAAUCACUGGGCGUAAAGGGUGCGUAGGCGGCCGUGCAAGUCUGGCGUGAAAGCCCCGGGCUCAGCCCGGGAAGUGCGCUCGAAACUGCGCGGCUCGAGUGCCGGAGGGGAGAGUGGAAUUCCUGGUGUAGCGGUGAAAUGCGUAGAGAUCGGGAAGAACAUCGGUGGCGAAGGCGCUCUACUGGACCACAACUGACACUCAGGGACGAAAGCUAGGGGAGCGAAUGGG
rnacentral:rRNA from 1 species